rnacentral:rRNA from 1 species
UAUACAAAGUCGAGUCGGUUUAAGGAUACGUUCGUUGGGUAGGGGAGCGUUCUGUAAGCCUGUGAAGGUGGCCUGUGAGGGUUGCUGGAGGUAUCAGAAGUGCGAAUGCUGACAUAAGUAACGAUAAAGCGGGUGAAAAGCCCGCUCGCCGGAAGACCAAGGGUUCCUGUCCAACGUUAAUCGGGGCAGGGUGAGUCGACCCCUAAGGCGAGGCCGAAAGGCGUAGUCGAUGGGAAACGGGUUAAUAUUCCCGUACUUGGUGUUACUGCGAAGGGGGGACGGAGAAGGCUAUGUUGGCCGGGCGACGGUUGUCCCGGUUUAAGCGUGUAGGUGUGUGUUCCAGGUAAAUCCGGUUCACUUUAACACUGAGGCGUGACGACGAGGCACUACGGUGCUGAAGCAACAAAUGCCCUGCUUCCAGGAAAAGCCUCUAAGCAUCAGGUAACAUCAAAUCGUACCCCAAACCGACACAGGUGGUCAGGUAGAGAAUACCAAGGCGCUUGAGAGAACUCGGGUGAAGGAACUAGGCAAAAUGGUGCCGUAACUUCGGGAGAAGGCACGCUGACACGUAGGUGAAGUGAUUUACUCACGGAGCUGAAGUCAGUCGAAGAUACCAGCUGGCUGCAACUGUUUAUUAAAAACACAGCACUGUGCAAACACGAAAGUGGACGUAUACGGUGUGACGCCUGCCCGGUGCCGGAAGGUUAAUUGAUGGGGUCAGCGCAAGCGAAGCUCCUGAUCGAAGCCCCGGUAAACGGCGGCCGUAACUAUAACGGUCCUAAGGUAGCGAAAUUCCUUGUCGGGUAAGUUCCGACCUGCACGAAUGGCGUAAUGAUGGCCAGGCUGUCUCCACCCGAGACUCAGUGAAAUUGAACUCGCUGUGAAGAUGCAGUGUACCCGCGGCAAGACGGAAAGACCCCGUGAACCUUUACUAUAGCUUGACACUGAACAUUGAGCCUUGAUGUGUAGGAUAGGUGGGAGGCUUUGAAGUGUGGACGCCAGUCUGCAUGGAGCCGACCUUGAAAUACCACCCUUUAAUGUUUGAUGUUCUAACGUGGACCCGUAAUCCGGGUUGCGGACAGUGUCUGGUGGGUAGUUUGACUGGGGCGGUCUCCUCCUAAAGAGUAACGGAGGAGCACGAAGGUUGGCUAAUCCUGGUCGGACAUCAGGAGGUUAGUGCAAUGGCAUAAGCCAGCUUGACUGCGAGCGUGACGGCGCGAGCAGGUGCGAAAGCAGGUCAUAGUGAUCCGGUGGUUCUGAAUGGAAGGGCCAUCGCUCAACGGAUAAAAGGUACUCCGGGGAUAACAGGCUGAUACCGCCCAAGAGUUCAUAUCGACGGCGGUGUUUGGCACCUCGAUGUCGGCUCAUCACAUCCUGGGGCUGAAGUAGGUCCCAAGGGUAUGGCUGUUCGCCAUUUAAAGUGGUACGCGAGCUGGGUUUAGAACGUCGUGAGACAGUUCGGUCCCUAUCUGCCGUGGGCGCUGGAGAACUGAGGGGGGCUGCUCCUAGUACGAGAGGACCGGAGUGGACGCAUCACUGGUGUUCGGGUUGUCAUGCCAAUGGCACUGCCCGGUAGCUAAAUGCGGAAGAGAUAAGUGCUGAAAGCAUCUAAGCACGAAACUUGCCCCGAGAUGAGUUCUCCCUGAGACUUAGAGUCUCCUGAAGGAACGUUGAAGACGACGACGUUGAUAGGCCGGGUGUGUAAGCGCAGCGAUGCGUUGAGCUAACCGGUACUAAUGAACCGUGAGGCUUAACCUUACA